rnacentral:rRNA from 1 species
AUGGAGCUCGCGGUGAGAGCCGCGGCGGCUUCCUGCUCCUCCUCCCCGUCGCUCCAUCCCCCACGCGUCCCCUGCCGCCUUGGCCACAGCCCAGGCCUGCCGCUGCCGGCUCGCCGAGUGGCCGUAGCCGCGGCGGCCAUCGCCCUCGACCCGUUUCAGGAGACCAAAACCAAUCUGAAUGACGUCUCAAAAACCGAGGUGUUCGCAUGCCCUGUUUGCUAUGAACCUCUGAUAAGGAAAGGGCUGUCAGGCAUGAAUCUGCCAGUGAUUUAUAGGUCAGGAUUUAAAUGUUCGAAAUGCAACAAGUGA